rnacentral:rRNA from 1 species
UAGGGAAUCUUCCGCAAUGGACGCAAGUCUGACGGAGCAACGCCGCGUGAGUGAAGAAGGAUUUCGGUUCGUAAAACUCUGUUGUUAGAGAAGAACAGCGCAUAGAGUAACUGUUAUGCGUGUGACGGUAUCUAACCAGAAAGCCACGGCUAACUACGUGCCAGCAGCCGCGGUAAUACGUAGGUGGCAAGCGUUGUCCGGAUUUAUUGGGCGUAAAGCGAGCGCAGGCGGUCAAUUAAGUCUGAUGUGAAAGCCCCCGGCUCAACCGGGGAGGGUCAUUGGAAACUGGUUGACUUGAGUGCAGAAGAGGAGAGUGGAAUUCCAUGUGUAACGGUGAAAUGCGUAGAUAUAUGGAGGAACACCAGUGGCGAAGGCGACCCUCUGGUCUGUAACUGACGCUGAGGCUCGAAAGCGUGGGUAGCAAACAGG